rnacentral:rRNA from 1 species
GGUAAAGGGUGUCAAGAGCCUACCAAGGAGGAACUCAAGGCUGUCCUUGGGGUACAUUCAGAAGCGCUUAAUGAGAAGUACCUUGGUCUCCCAACACUGGUUGGAAGAUCAAAAGAUGGUACUUUCACGUACGUCAUGGAGAGCUCGAAAGGCAAAGUAAGUGGUUGGAAGGGGCAGGGGCUGUCUAAGAAGGCAAGAGAAGUUCUUAUUAAGUCAGGACUCCAAGCUGUACUGACGUUCACCAUGAGUUGUUUCCACCUUACAAAGAAAAUGUGCCGAAAUCUGUCUUCUAUCUCUGCAAAAUUC